GAACAGGAGCUGUAUUUUCUGGAGAAAGAACGGGACAAAAGGAUUUUCUGCAGAGUACAGAUCAGGAGCGCAUCGCCUGCACGACCAUUUCCUGGGUACGUGCAUGGACGCUCGCUUUCCGUAAUCGUUUCAUCACCAUUCAAGGCACAAAAGAAAGGGAGGGAGGAUUGUACAAUCGCGACAGGCAGCUAGCCAGGAUACGUGUGCGUGUGCGGCACACAGCGCGAACCAAUCGCAGCAACCCGGGUCGCGUCGCGCGUGUCGAUCAACGGAUGUAGUAGUGCGAGUUGCACCGCAGCACGGCGCCGGCCACCGCCGCCGGCACGACCACCGGCUUCACCGCUGCCGCCACCGUCCCUCCGGUCCC
rnacentral:lncRNA from 1 species